GUAACAUACAGACAGUAAGGGGUAAGACAGUCUAAUAACAUACAGACAGUAAGGGGUAAGACAGUCUAAUAACAUACAGACAGUAAGGGAUGAGACAGUCUAGUAACAUACAGACAGUAAGGGAUGAGACAGUCUAGUAACAUACAGACAGUAAGGAGGUAAGACAGUCUAAUAACAUACAGACAGUAAGGAGGUAAGACAGUCUAGUAGCAUACAGACAGUAAGGGGUGAGACAGUCUAAUAACAUACAGACAGUAAGGGGUUAGACAGUCUAAUAACAUACAGACAGUAAGGAGGUUAGACAGUCUAGUAACAUACAGACAGUAAGGGGUGAGACAGUCUAGUAGCAUACAGACAGUAAGGAGGUAAGACAGUCUAGUAGCAUACAGACAGUAAGGAGGUAAGACAGUCUAAUAACAUACAGACAGUAAGGAGGUACAAAAAGACUGCUCCUAAAGGCAACAUUACGCUGGAGGUCUGCAAGUGUAUCGGGGUAAGAGUCUAGUAACAUACAGACAGUAAGGGGUGAGACAGUCUAGUAGCAUACAGACAGUAAGGAGGUAAGACAGUCUAAUAACAUACAGACAGUAAGGAGGUAAGACAGUCUAGUAGCAUACAGACAGUAAGGGAUGAGACAGUCUAGUAACAUACAGACAGUAAGGGAUGAGACAGUCUAAUAACAUACAGACAGUAAGGAGGUAAGACAGUCUAAUAACAUACAGACAGUAAGGAGGUAAGACAGUCUAGUAGCAUACAGACAGUAAGGAGGUAAGACAGUCUAGUAGCAUACAGACAGUAAGGAGGUUAGACAGUCUAAUAACAUACAGACAGUAAGGAGGUUAGACAGUCUAAUAACAUAGAGACAGUAAGGAGGUAAGACAGUCUAAUAACAUACAGACAGUAAGGAGGUAAGACAGUCUAGUAGCAUACAGACAGUAAGGGAUGAGACAGUCUAGUAACAUACAGACAGUAAGGGAUGAGACAGUCUAAUAACAUACAGACAGUAAGGGAUGAGACAGUCUAGUAGCAUACAGACAGUAAGGAGGUAAGACAGUCUAAUAUCAUACAGACAGUAAGGAGGUUAGACAGUCUAAUAACAUACAGACAGUAAGGGAUGAGACAGUCUAGUAACAUACAGACAGUAAGGGAUGAGACAGUCUAGUAACAUACAGACAGUAAGGAGGUUAGACAGUCUAGUAACAUACAGACAGUAAGGGGUGAGACAGUCUAGUAACAUACAGACAGUAAGGGUUAAGACAGUCUAGUAACAUACAGACAGUAAGGGUUAAGACAGUCUAGUAACAUACAGACAGUAAGGGGUGAGACAGUCUAGUAACAUACAGACAGUAAGGAGGUACAACAAGACUGCUCCUAAAGGCAACAUUAUGCUGGAGGUCUGCAAGUCUCCUAAAGGCAACAUUAUGCUGGAGGUCUGCAAGUGUAUCGGGGUAAGAGUCUAGUAACAUACAGACAGUAAGGGGUGAGACAGUCUAGUAGCAUACAGACAGUAAGGAGGUAAGACAGUCUAGUAGCAUACAGACAGUAAGGAGGUGAGACAGUCUAGUAACAUACAGACAGUAAGGGAUGAGACAGUCUAGUAGCAUACAGACAGUAAGGGAUGAGACAGUCUAGUAACAUACAGACAGUAAGGAGGUUAGACAGUCUAGUAACAUACAGACAGUAAGGAGGUAAGACAGUCUAGUAACAUACAGACAGUAAGGAGGUAAGACAGUCUAGUAACAUACAGACAGUAAGGGAUGAGACAGUCUAGUAGCAUACAGACAGUAAGGAGGUUAGACAGUCUAGUAACAUACAGACAGUAAGGAGGUUAGACAGUCUAGUAACAUACAGACAGUAAGGGAUGAGACAGUCUAGUAGCAUACAGACAGUAAGGAGGUAAGACAGUCUAGUAACAUACAGACAGUAAGGAGGUAAGACAGUCUAGUAGCAUACAGACAGUAAGGGAUGAGACAGUCUAGUAGCAUACAGACAGUAAGGAGGUAAGACAGUCUAAUAACAUACAGACAGUAAGGAGGUAAGACAGUCUAGUAGCAUACAGACAGUAAGGA